rnacentral:lncRNA from 1 species
UCUUAUUCUUAUUCUUCUUCUUCUUCUUCUUUUUAGUUCAUUUUUUUAUGCCAUUGGAGAAUGAUUUGUGACCUGCUAUAGGUUUGAUUUACUUUGGGUAUGCAUCAUUUUCUAGUCUUCUUCUUUUGGGGUUUUUGUCUGAUUUACUUUUUCUUUGUUAAUUUCUUGAUAGAUAGAUGUAUAGAUAGAUAAAUAGUAUUUGUUAAUUUCUUACAUUACUCACCUCUUUUUGUAUUGAUAUGUCAUUUUUUUCAAUCUUAAUCUUUAUGGUACUUAUAUAAUUGGAAUUUGACAGCUGCGAACAUCAAGAAAUUAAGGGGCUAUUCUCUUUACUGUUUUCAGACUAUUUUUUGUUUUCGAUUUUUUAAAACGGUGAAAACGUGUUCUCUUUCCUAUUUUCAAAAACGAGUUUUUCAAAAAAAAAAAAAAAAUUGUACUAGAAAUUCAAAACGUUUUUUUAGAUGUUUUGAAUGUUUUGCAGCAAAAUCAUGAAAAUGAAUGAAAACACAGGAAACACACCCAAAUUAAAAACAAUCUUUAUCUCUUUCUUUUUACUCUCUAUCUUGUAAGAUAAAGCAAAUGUUCCUAAGGUUUGCUCUGCCUUCCCAUUCGCAGAUUGAAGGAUCUCAAAGGCUCAUCCUCAUCUCCUAUCCUCGUCUUUUGUUUUCUGCUCAAUACUAUCUUUAAAUCUAGGUAUUUCUUUGGUGUUAUUUCUCUGAACAGAUUUGGAUUUAUUUCUUUGGCUUUUCAAGCAUUCAAGAGUAUAAUGAGAUUAUUUUGGUAGAUCUAUAAGAAUAAUAAAAUGUGAGUACCAUAUCCAUGGUUUCUGUAGAUAUUUACCAUGAAUUCAGUGUCAGAAUCUCAUAGCAAUAUAUGUGUAGUUCUCACUGAAAUGGCAUCUCUAUUUUCGCACUUAGAGUUUGUGUUUUUCAUUUUUCUGUAAAUUAAUUUCUAUUAGGUGGGUAGGGUUAAGUUCCAACUUCCUAUAAUUCAUCAUUAAAUGAUCAUACAAGAACACGUUUGGAUAGCAUAAUCUCUAAUAAUUACACAGAAAUAUUGUUGUUGUUUAUUGUAUUUGCUAUUAUUGCGGCUUGUAUUGGCGUGUCUUGCUCUUGUAAUCAGGUUAACAAUGCAACAUACGGAGUUUUAGUUCUUGUUUCUUCCACACUUAAAUCAUACACAGUUGCAAAUUAGGUUAAAAUUAGGGUUAGUUAACAUUAUCACAAUUCCUAUUUGAUAAUUUGGUGUCGGUUAAGGUCAACUAGAUAGAAUUAAACUACUCAAUCUUUGUGGGACAACAUUUGGACUCAAAAUUUUCACUUUAUUACUUGUCACAAACCAUACAUUUGUGGAGCUUUAAAUAGAAAAAAAAAAUUCGUGAACAAGUUUUUAUGGGACCUAUUCUCACUUUUAUCUGAUUGAAGAAAGAUUCCUUCAAGCUUUGUUGCUCCUCGUUUUUUUCUACAGGAGUGGGAAAAAGUCGAGUGUUGAUUAAUUAGCAUUAGGGGCUGAAUAAAUUUAAUUAAGAACUGGCUGAUUUCUAGUCGAGUGAGUGGCGUGUGUUGCCUACACACUGCCUUGCAUAAUGCUUCAAGUUGGUAUUGCAAGAAAGGGCUCUUAAACUAACUUCAAGUCAUUGCACUAUCCUUUUCUCUGGAUAUUGAAAAGUAGAUUAGGGUAUUUGUGAAUGCUUUGUCCCUCGGUAGUUGGUGCUUAAUGAAUUUUCUACUGUAAAUAGUAAUUCCACAUUUCAUUAGCAUUGGUAUUAUAUUUCUGUGUAAUUUUCUACUGUAAAUAGUAAUUCAUCAUUUUUUUAUCUUUAUUGAAUAGCAUUUAUUCUACCAGUGUUAUGUUUUAAGUUCUGUUUUGUGACCGAAUUUUAUCAUGGGAUAAAUGCAUCACCUUAGUAGUGUCAUUGUAAUAUGUUUUGCUUCUAUUAUGUUAUGUUUUCCCUGCAUUCUUCCUAUCAACGGGUUAAUACUUUUAAGCAAUAUACUAGAUGUUGAAACCAAAACAUUUAACUUGAAGAAUUUUGAGCAAUUGAUGGUAUGUGAAUCGCCUAUGGAAGGUCUUAUAUAUUUCUUGAUAAUUUGAUGUAUAUCCAAUAUAGCUUCAACAUAAGUGGUCACAAAGUUAAGAAUAAGGAAUCAAUGUCAUGGUCGGACGAGAAUGAACACUCUUUUAUCGAAAUUCUUUACGAGCAAGUGAAAUCAAAUGCAUUGCAAUGUUCUGUAUUCACAAAAGACAAAUGGGGCAAGAGCAAUGAAAUCAUGAUAGCUUCGACAAAAAUGGAUUACGGCAUAGAUAGAUCAAAGGGAAAGUGGAACUGUUUAGGUAAGAUUCAUUGCAUAUUCUCUGAACUUUUGGGACAUACAGGUGUUACAUGAGAUCUAAAUACCAACAAAGUUAAUGCUGCAGAGGAAGUCUAGCAACACUUUUAUACAGUACAUAUAUUUAUUAAAGAAUAUUUUCGUCAUUAGUUUUUAUCUUAUCAAUUUUACAAUUUUUUGUUGAACAAUAUGAUAAGGUGGCUUCUUUUUUCAAUGGUAGAUAAACAAAUCGGAUUACAAGAUGUUCAAAAGGAAAGGAUAUAAGCACUACCACACUCUUUGGAAGAUAUUUAGCAAGACCACAGCUACUGGAGGAUUAGGCAAUGCCUCCACUCAACUUCCAAACACAUCAGAGAAAGAAAGACAAUUAGAAGAUAAUUUUUUGAACAGGGGGUACAUGUACGUUCGGAAAAUGAUGAUGAAUUUGAUGAGGUUUUAAAUACUCGUUGACGUGAUGAAAUUGGUACAUUGGAUGAACAUCGACGGAGGAAACCUAAGAUCAGUAAAUGAGGUUUAUAUGAAAGCAAUAAAGACUUUUAAGGAUCCCGAUUUUAGGGUGCCAUUUGUGAAUAUGCCAGAAGCAAGAAAAAGACCUAUCUUGGAACUAUUUUGACGUGACUGUUGUUUUCAUUUCUCUAGUGUUGUGUUGUUUUAAUUNAUGAUAAUGUGAGUACUGAUGAUUCCAAUGAUGAAUAUUCGAGUGAUGAUGAAUUGUUAUUUAUGGAUGAUUUUGAUUCAAAUUUUGGAGAUUUAAUGAUGCUUAAUUGCUUUGUUGCCAACAAAGGAAGUAUCAUUAAUGGUAGGAGACCUUGUAGAACAUUAUUGCUUACGAGAACAACAGGCUUGCUAGAAAUUCUAAAUGGACAUCCGGACAUAUGCCAUCGUAUUUUUCAUAUGCAAAAACAAGAAGUAUAUUGUUAUACUUUAAAUAAUUAUUGAGAAUAUAUUUACAGUGUCACAUUAUGUAAGCCUUUUUUUAUUUUGCAGAUCAAUUUUACCUUGUUGAUUACGGAUAUCCAAAUUUGUCUGGAUUUCUUGCCACUUAUCGAGGUCAAAAAUAUCAUCUGCAUAACUAUGUUGGACGGGGAAGACUACGUGGGAAGGAAAAAUUGUUCAACUAUAGACACUCCUCAUGCCAUAACAUUAUUGAACGUUGCAUUAGAAUUUUAAAGGCAAGAUUUCCUAUUCUGAAGUUGAUUCCCAAUUAUCCACUUAGUAGGCAAAGGCAAAUCCUUACCAUAUGUUGCGCAAUAAACAACUUUAUUCAUCAAGAGCACGCUUUAGAUGAGUUGUUCAUUGAAUAUUUUGAGGAGAAUAUGAUGUUUCAAGAUAUACCGGAGUCAAAUCAAGAUCAAGAAGUCAUACAUUUUGAUGCUAGUCGAACCGCUCAAAUGAGAUAAGUCAAGGAUCAAAUUGCUACACAAAUAUGAAAUGACUACUCAAGACGUCGUACAUGAUUCCGUGGAUGUACUUUAAAUUUUUUCCAGUGUCUGCUUGAUUUACCAUGACA